CACGUAGGGUGCAAGCGUUGUCCGGAAUUAUUGGGCGUAAAGGGCUCGUAGGCGGUCCGUCACGUCGGGAGUGAAAACUCGGGGCUCAACCCCGAGCCUGCUUUUGAUACGGGCGGACUAGAGGUAGGUAGGGGAGAACGGAAUUCCUGGUGUAGCGGUGGAAUGCGCAGAUAUCAGGAGGAACACCGGUGGCGAAGGCGGUUCUCUGGGCCUUACCUGACGCUGAGGAGCGAAAGCGUGGGGAGCGAACAGG
rnacentral:rRNA from 1 species